rnacentral:piRNA from 1 species
GAAUGAGAUAGUGGUAAUGGAUGCACAAC